AGCUCAGCUGUUGUGAGGGGGAGGUCGUGCCAGACGCUCUCCCGUGCUCUUGUCUCUGUCAAGGGUGUUUCUAACCGCAUUUGGAUGUAUUUCUAAAGUUUAUUAUUUGGCCUGUAAGUGGCGAUUGCCUUUGAUAACAUAGCCCUUUUAGGUACGGUAGAAAAAAAAUUACUCGGAAAUCUGUGGCUGUAUCGUGACAAAUCACAGCUAUAUGGUGUGUAAUAUUUAUUGUAGGCCAGUUGUCUAAACUCCCAGUGACCGAAAUAACGUCUCCCAAAAUUUGGAAGUACUUCAGGCAACGUGAUAUAUAUAUUUUCUAGCGAUUACUAAGGUGGGCGAAGCCCCACAAGACGGAAUACUGCAGCGGGCGACCCCGGCGGACACAGCCUUCCCCUUACAUUAUGAAGAGGUGGUGAGGGCGUGGCGGCGAGGGUGUGGGAGAAUAUGGUGUCCGGUACCUCCACCGCUGCCAGCUACGACGGUCACGAACCAGAGCGUGAGCAGCUGAGCUUCGAGGUCAACACCGAGGGCCUCCCGCCAGACACCGCCGCCCUCCUCGACCAGAUCAAACAGGUAGCGGAGGAUGUGCUCUACCACUGGAAGACCUUCCCGCUCCACCUGCCUCCACCUGUCGCAGUCCACCACGACCCGACCUCCACCACCUCUUCAGGAAACUUCGGCGUAGUUGGCGUAGGAAAUGGAGGCGCCGGGUUGGGCACCGGCGGCAGCAGCGCCGCAGGCGGCGGAGGGCGCGCCAAGCCGCUGGCGCUGCGAGAGGUGUUCGUGGUGCCAUCCUUCGACGAGCUCGACGCCGUCGCCGUCGACUCCAAGGGCGACCCCCGACGACUCUCCAACCACCACCUCCACUCCAUUCGCGAGAAGGGGCUACAUCGGGACAGUCAAGGGAAACGUCGUCGGCUCAACGAGUAUCAACUGGAGACUCUUCGACGCUCCGGAGAGUUUGAAGUGGAGUCCCUUCACUUCCCUGGUCAAACCCAUCGGUGGCAGGUGUCGGGAUGGCUGCAGAAGGGAUGUGAAAAGGCCCACAACUCACUGCUGGAUGACAUCGCCCUGGCCCUUUCCCUCAUCGUAGUUACUGCCAAGAACAGACUCUCGUCUCCAUUAUUCUCACUCUCUAACUCACUUCACUCGGUCUGGCAGGGGAUUCUUAUGCUUGUCGAUCUUGCAUUAGGUAUUCCAUGGGUUCAAGCUCAUAACUUGGAAGCACGGAUGAAAGAGGAGCGCUGUAGUUACCUGGUGCAGGAAUUAACAUGCAAGGAUGGUGAUGUUGAAGGCUUGUGCUCAUGGAUGGUUCAACAGAUUAAGCGUGCCACGAGAGAGAAGUUUCAGUUAACAGAUGAGAAACAGCCACCUGUACCAUAUAUCUUCAAUACUCCCCAGGGCCUGGAGCUGGAUCUCCGGCUCUUUAAUAGGGAGCUGAUGAAGAAAGCACUGCCGGUGCUUGUUGGCAUACUGGAGAAGGAAGCUCGGGGCUGGUUCCUGCACUUCAGAGAGAAAGUUAUUGCAGAUCUCAAGGCACAAAAUCUCAGUGAUUAUGAGGUUGAAAAGGAAGGUAAUCGUUUAGUACAAGAGGAAUAUUUGGGCCGUGUAUAUACUGCCAUCCUGGCACAUCCAGCCCUUCAAGAACUUGGUGAAUCAGUUCCACUACUACUAAUUAACCAUGCCAAGGCAGUUUUGCUCAUGCACAGAGCGUUAGAUGAAGUAGAAAGAAUAUAUGAGGAGGGUGAACGAUCCCGGCGGGAGGAGCUCAAACAUACACAUUCCAUAUUUUCCCGUAUUGAACCGUGGCUGGCUGAUGAGUUAAGUGCCACUCACGAUACCUUAACAGAGCAACACAAGUGGCGGCCCCAUGAACAUGCUCUGGCAUUGUGUCGACAGCAUGAUCUUCAGCAGCAUGCAUACUUUCUCCAGAGAGAUCUUUCAUUCAUGAGAGAGAGAGAACCAGUUUUGAUGAAGGAGCUGAAGAACCUAAAAGUUGCUAUGCGAGUGUUUCAGUGGAGAACACAAGUUUGGUUUCCUGGCAACUAUGUAGUUAGUCGGAGUUUUCAAGGCGAGAGUGAAAUAAUUCCUACGGUAUUGGCAUCGUCUCCCACCUGCAUCACUACCCCACGCACAGAUCCAAACCACCCAGUGUACUUGCUGGAAAAACAGUUAAUCAGAACAACUUCUACACGAUGGCCUUUUUGGCGUUGGUUUAAUUUUUUGCAUAGAUCAUGGGCCUGGACGUCUAAUGCUCUCUUCUUCUUUGGGGUAUGGUUACCUCUAUGUUCUCCAGUCAGCCUUAGAGCUCUCUUGUGCCGAGAUCCAUUCAUGUCAGAUUUUGAGUUAUCCCAGGUAAAUGGAACAGUGUGUCCAAGUAAAGCCUCACUAACUCCUACCCUAGCCUCCAGAUUACACACACUGUGGAGACAUAUCUCUAAAUCUCGGACCCAUUUUGAAACUACGCCCGAUACAGGAUUCAUUGGAAAAGGAGUGACUCGUCACAUGAACCGUGCUUGGAAUUACGUAAUGAAGGGCAUCGUGGGCACAUUACUUCUUACCACUGUGUUUCCACUCAUCUGCUUACUCGUGUCUCUAGGCUCUAUGGCUAUUGCUGUUGCUGCUCCUCUGUGGGUACCUGCGUGUGUCCUCUUGACACAUGUUGCCUGCAUAUUUAUUUAUGAUCUAGAUUCUCCAACUGGAAUGAGAAAAUGGAGCCCAAUACUUCAAGCAAUAGGGCUUUAUCUUGUUGUUUUGGGCGUGUUACAGGCCAUAUUCUCCUUUCUCACAGCAACUUUAGUAUGUCCAAUUUUAGCAGCUGCUGUUUUGUUGUAUGGUGUAGUUCGCAGAGGGUUGAGACAUGUUUGGGACGCAGUUAUGUUCCAUGCUGUAAUUAAAAAGCGUGGUCGAAUCCCAGCCUCCGAUAGUUUCCUUGUGAAGCGUAUUGCUGGACCUGGCUUACAUAAUAAUUUCUAUUACCAGAUAAGCUGUGAACAGGCUUUAGCAUCAUUUGAAGCUAGGCUGGAAAUGGACGAGUUGGCAGUUUAUCAACAUGAGAUGGAAGCUAUUAUCCACAAACCACUUUGUGUUUACACGGAUUUUGUACAGCGUUGCUUUGGUCCCUUUAGUGGAGUUAUUGGCAGAACUGGCAACUAUGACCGUGUGGAAAGAGAAGUGCGCGAUCUCAUCCUAACACUGCAAGAAAAAAUUGACAGACGGCGACGAGAUCUGGUCUUGGGCUUGCCCAUCAGUGUCAGGUCAAAAAUAAAAUUGACAACAAGAGAAUUAAAGUUGGCUCUAAAGCAAGCAACCAUAAUGCUGGAAGAUUUCUACCCAUCUCACGUACUGAAUCGGAUCAUUGACCAGCAGGGAGUGGAGCCUUCUGGCCAUGAUGUGGGGGCAAUUUUAAACAGACUUGAUACAGUGCAAGGCAAUAAUGCAUCUGGACAGAAACAUGUUGGAAUUGUGGAGAGAGGUACAGUGAUAAGUGGAACACGGAAAGGUGGGCCAACAGAACCAAAGUUUGCUACAGUAGAGGAAUGGUGGGACAGCAAAGGACUUGCCUUAGGUGACUAUGGUGGUUUGGCUUCGUUGAUGUUUACAGAAAUCUUUAGUUCCGAUUUCCUGACACCAAUGGAAGAGUCGGACACAAGUUUCCAGAUGGAAGUACAUGGAGUAAGCUUGUCCCGAUACACAGAGAUGACGCGUUGCAUGCCAGACAGACCUGACUUGGAUGAGAAGUUGACUGUCCAUACACCUCGUGGUAAUAUCCAGGUACAUAGUCCAUAUCUGGAUUUGGCUUCCUUCACACCCCUUGUUCGGCACGGUGUACCCACGCACCGCACGGGGAAGGCCAGCCUUGCAGCUCGACUAUCACUACGACUCAACCCUGGAAGGAGAAUGGUGUAUGGAAGCAGAGUCCCAGAGAAGCUUCUGAUUCCACCACCUAUACCCCAUCCUGCUCACAUAGCUGUUAUUAUCCAUAACCGUGAAGCUUCGGAGCCUAUUCCUCUUGAUGCUCCACUAACCUUGCAGGUCAUUCGUACCAUUGAGGAUUCUCCCCACGUUAUUGUUGCCCUUGCAUCGCUGGGUGAGGAAGAGACGCCUGUGUCUGAUUCGCGCUCAUCCUCCCUUUCGCACGAUCGUUCACUUUACGAUGAUCCCUCUCUCUAUGAUGGGCCCUACAGCAAUACUUCACAAUCAGGCACAGCAGAUAGAAGAGGUACUCGUUGUUCACUUGGGCGCUCCCGGACUGCCACACUGGAAAUGACGGCAACUUUAGAUCGUAUUACAACAAUGGAACAGCGCACAAACAUGAAUGAAUAUAAUAGUGAGCUGAAGUGAAAAGAUUCCUCCACUCUGCUAGAGCGCUACAUCACUGUUUUCAGCGCACACUAAGUUUUGUUGUCAGAUCUAGCACGUUAGAAUUAACUCCAACAAGAAUGGCUCAAAGGCUGGCAACACCACUUCGCUCUCUACUAGAGGGGCAACGACCAUUCACUGUCUCUCUCAAUCUUGCUUCUGCAGAAGAUGUCAGCCU
rnacentral:misc_RNA from 1 species